AGAGUUUGAUCCUGGCUCAGGAUGAACGCUGGCGGCGUGCUUAACACAUGCAAGUCGAACGAAGCACUUUAACCUGAUUCUUCGGAUGAAGGUUUUUGUGACUGAGUGGCGGACGGGUGAGUAACGCGUGGGUAACCUGCCUCAUACAGGGGGAUAACAGUUAGAAAUGACUGCUAAUACCGCAUAAGACCACGGAGCCGCAUGGCUCAGUGGGAAAAACUCCGGUGGUAUGAGAUGGACCCGCGUCUGAUUAGGUAGUUGGUGGGGUAACGGCCUACCAAGCCAACGAUCAGUAGCCGACCUGAGAGGGUGACCGGCCACAUUGGGACUGAGACACGGCCCAAACUCCUACGGGAGGCAGCAGUGGGGAAUAUUGCACAAUGGGGGAAACCCUGAUGCAGCGACGCCGCAUGAGCGAAGAAGUAUUUCGGUAUGUAAAGCUCUAUCAGCAGGGAAGAAAAUGACGGUACCUGACUAAGAAGCACCGGCUAAAUACGUGCCAGCAGCCGCGGUAAUACGUAUGGUGCAAGCGUUAUCCGGAUUUACUGGGUGUAAAGGGAGCGUAGACGGCUGUGUAAGUCUGAAGUGAAAGCCCGGGGCUCAACCCCGGGACUGCUUUGGAAACUAUGCAGCUAGAGUGUCGGAGAGGUAAGUGGAAUUCCCAGUGUAGCGGUGAAAUGCGUAGAUAUUGGGAGGAACACCAGUGGCGAAGGCGGCUUACUGGACGAUGACUGACGUUGAGGCUCGAAAGCGUGGGGAGCAAACAGGAUUAGAUACCCUGGUAGUCCACGCCGUAAACGAUGACUAUUAGGUGUCGGGGGAGCAAAAGCUCUUCGGGGCCGCAGCAAACGCAAAUAAGUAGUCCACCUGGGGAGUACGUUCGCAAAGAAUGAAACUCAAAGGAAUUGACGGGGACCCGCACAAGCGGUGGAGCAUGUGGUUUAAUUCGAAGCAACGCGAAGAACCUUACCUGCUCUUGACAUCCCGGUGACCGGCAUGUAAUGAUGCCUUUUCUUCGGAACACCGGUGACAGGUGGUGCAUGGUUGUCGUCAGCUCGUGUCGUGAGAUGUUGGGUUAAGUCCCGCAACGAGCGCAACCCUUAUCUUCAGUAGCCAGCAAUUCGGAUGGGCACUCUGGAGAGACUGCCAGGGAUAACCUGGAGGAAGGUGGGGAUGACGUCAAAUCAUCAUGCCCCUUAUGAGCAGGGCUACACACGUGCUACAAUGGCGUAAACAAAGGGAAGCGAGCCUGCGAGGGUAAGCAAAUCUCAAAAAUAACGUCUCAGUUCGGAUUGUAGUCUGCAACUCGACUACAUGAAGCUGGAAUCGCUAGUAAUCGCGAAUCAGCAUGUCGCGGUGAAUACGUUCCCGGGUCUUGUACACACCGCCCGUCA
rnacentral:rRNA from 1 species